rnacentral:rRNA from 1 species
CCAGACUCCUACGGGAGGCAGCAGUGGGGAAUAUUGCACAAUGGGGGAAACCCUGAUGCAGCAACGCCGCGUGAGUGAAGAAGUAUUUCGGUAUGUAAAGCUCUAUCAGCAGGGAAGAAGAAGGACGGUACCUGACUAAGAAGCCCCGGCUAACUACGUGCCAGCAGCCGCGGUAAUACGUAGGGGGCGAGCGUUAUCCGGAUUUACUGGGUGUAAAGGGAGCGUAGACGGUUAAUCAAGUCUGAAGUGAAAGCCCGCGGCUCAACUGCGGAACGGCUUUGGAAACUGAGUAACUGGAGUGCUGGAGGGGCAGGCGGAAUUCCUGGUGUAGCGGUGAAAUGCGUAGAUAUCAGGAGGAACACCGGUGGCGAAGGCGGCCUGCUGGACAGUAACUGACGUUGAGGCUCGAAAGCGUGGGGAGCAAACAGGAUUAGAUACCCUAGUA